CAGAUAUCUUUUCCGGUUUAUUUUUUCCCUCGCACCGCGCCUCCCCUAAAGUGCUCUGGCGCCCCCCAGGGGAGGCGCGCCUCACACUUUGAAAACCGCCGGCUUAGUCCAUCCAAAACCGCGUUGAGUAAUGCUAAGCUUUCUCUUGUCUAAAUAAUUUUACAGACUGUGCAUAAUGUGUUGACACAAAAACAUGUACAAGUAGUUGAGCGAUUCUCCUUCCCCUUUUUACUUGAGUGGUAUAUCCCAACUACACAGCCCCUUUGCUGCUGGCUUGAUUGCAGCCUGCUGCUGACUGUAUGGUGGAAUUUAAUUCUACUACUGUGUAUCUCUGAGCACUUUUCCAGUACGUUUGGUGAUAUUACUUUCAUCUGAACUGUGUUUCUUGAAAAAUAACUGCAUUGUUUUGUGCCUAUGCUGCAGCUUCAUAGGUAAAUGUGUGGUUACAUUUGUCAACUAACUUUUAAGACAAAUACUCAGAAAUAUUCAUUGGCGUGUCCUUAUUCAUGUAACUGAGUGUACAAGUGGAAGCAUACAGUUUGUGUGUUUGUUCUCAGACCUAUAACCAGUACAUUAUUCAAUAUUUCAAUGUGUUUCAAAACUUUUCAAAUGUUUUUUAUUGUCUAACGCAGUGGUCCCCAACCUUUUUAGUACAGCGGACCAGUCAACCCUUCGUAAAUUUUCUGUGGUGCGCGCGUUAUAAGGAUCGAGACCGACGCCGUUGUUUCUCACUCAUUCUGCUGCAUGUUGGCGCGCAAGACGUAACCGACAGCAUCCUGUUUAGGAUUUUCAAAAUAAAAGCUCCUCUAGACUCAAUACAUAGAAUGGACAUAUUUAAUUAUUUCUUGCGUGGCCCGGUACCAAUUGGUCCGCGGACUGGUCCGGUGGUUGGGGACCACUGGUCUAACGGGCCCAAGCUGGUGCCUUCCUCACUUUUAAUUUUGUUUUCAGCUGCUGCUCCUUGAUCAAUUGUUUAGUAUAAGUAACUUGAUAUGUGACAAAGAUAAGUGAGGAAUGGUGGCACUUCAUGGAAGAUACCUGCUGAAAGUUUGAGCUGUUAGUAUCUGAUUUUGUUGUACUUUUUACAUUACAUUUAUAUUACAAGUGGAAGUAUUGUAUUUGAAUUUGUGUUAUUUAGGGUUUGAUGAGCUGCAACUCAAUCUGGCACCAGACGCACUCAAGGAUUUGUCUCCAUAUGUCCAACUCUCUUCCACCUAUGAGCUGAGGGCAUUGGUGGAAGAUUUUCAAUCUUAUUUUUUUUUAAGAGAAAGCCCAACAUAUUUAAUUGAAAGGGUACAGUUUUUGCUAUAAUGCUGUACUUGACAAAUAAAAUUUUAAAAUACCUUAUCCCUGGAAAGGUGUGCCACCAGGAAUUUUGGGUUUCAUGCCAAAAAAUUAUCUAGCUAAAUCCAGUCAAAUCACAUUUUCAGAUUGAAACAGAGCUCAUUGAAAUUGAUAGGAAUCUAGAAAUCACAAGAUGUAAUAAAGAUGAAGAUCAAAUGGAGGUGCUUCCAGGCUGUCUGUCUGAUGUUUCUCCCAGCGUUUUUUACUGUCUAGCUGGUGGCAGCGGGAUUUAGGAGCUUUGCGGAUAAAAACUGUAAGAGCCUUUGUCAUUUCCCUUCUACAAAUGACAAAGUUUUCUGGAGAGAAUUGUUGAGACAACAAAUGUAGGUCCUUGGUCUCUGGUGUUCUGUCAGAUCAGUAUAUACUGUCAAACUGUGCUCUUCCUUUUUUUUCCCCUGUGGGAUAAAAAGAAGAGCACAUGGGCUGCCAACUUAUCAUGGUGGAGGGAUUUGAAUGUCUCAUUGACCCUUUAUGAUGGAAAACAGCUUUGGAUAUGGUGUUCUCUUGCUCAGACAUGGAUCACCAGGGCACUGUAAGAUAGUGUGGUCAAGGAUCCUCAAGGUGGACGAAAUAAACUGCAUCAGCCACCAGUUUCAGGGUUUUCUGAUGAAUUUUAUUUAUUUGGUUUUUAACUCUGAUAACCAUCCGCUCCCCCUUGAACUUCCAAAACACUGUUUUUAAAACCAAUUGGCAACACACCUGCACAUAAGUGGAGCAAACCACAAUUAAACAGAUAAAAAAGAAACAAAAUAUAAACAGAAACAAGAAUAACAUUAUUAAUCUAAUUAAAAAACUCCUCAACAUAAUGAAAUAGUCUGCAAAAUAAACCCUAUAAUACAAGAUAACUCCAAAAUUACUUUAAAGAAAAACAAACAAAGCAAUGCUACAAGGAACCCUCUAAUUGGUAGAACCCAGCAAGGUAAUCAGUGACAUCAUUCAGCCAUUUAAUCAGGAAAUACUGGGCCGGCCGCUCCCACACUCCUGACCUGCUGCAGAUCUACAAGGGAGAAUGGGUGGGACCACUGGGUGAGGUCUCCAGCUAGCACUCAGCAGCAUUUAAAGAAGCAGGUUUCCUGAGGCUUACAACAGAUGGAUAUCUCACUUUUUGUGUCCCUCAUGUCACCUCCACCAUCAUUUGGAGCUUCUCCUGGUCCCUCACUCUCUAGUCUCAUUGGCUCUCCUACAGACCACUUAGCUGGAUCCUCCACUAAUCACUCAUCUGCUUGGCUAGUAAACCCUCUGAUGCUCUAUCUUCAUCUGUUGGAAAGUAAACGGGAAGACAGAUCACCAGCUAAACUACAUAUCCACUCCCAGUCAAACUCAACAUUUGUGGAAAUACUAGCUUUGCUUCUUCAACAACAGGAUGGACUAUCCUUCUUCUCUCAGGAGACCGGCCCUCCAGGACCAGGAGUGCCCACCACUGGCCUAAACAAUCUGGUUUGUUUGGGGAGGUGUGAACUCUAAUGCGGACCAAAAAAGCAAACUCUGGUCCGUCAUAAAACCUCAGCCUCCAUUUGGUUAACAUGAACUGUGACGCAGUUUGAAUCCAGUGUGAAUGCAAGCGGACCAGACACCACUCCAAAGUUAGGAAACCAACUGGUCAAUAUAUUACUCUCUGCUCUGUGGGUUACUGGAGGUGUUGUGUUUGUUGCCAAGGCAACAGGUCUAUGUGUAGAGUAAAGCCAAUAUAAAGAGAAAGGAGCAAGCAGAGUAUAAGUGGCUGAAAGUUAUUUUAGGCUUGCUUACCAGUUUACUUUCCCUUUGUUGUGGCACACUGCAGCUGCUGGGAUUUUUUAACCUUUAAUAAAUGACUGGACUAAU